rnacentral:rRNA from 1 species
AUUGAACGCGUGGCGGCAUGCCUUACACAUGCAAGUCGAACGGCAGCACGGGAGCAAUCCUGGGUGGCGAGUGGCGAACGGGUGAGUAAUAUAUCGGAACGUGCCCAGUCGUGGGGGAUAACGUAGCGAAAGCUACGCUAAUACCGCAUACGAUCUAUGGGAUGAAANCGGGGGAUCGCAAGACCUCGCGCGAUUGGAGCGGCCGAUAUCAGAUUAGGUAGUUGGUGAGGUAAAGGCUCACCAAGCCGACGAUCUGUAGCUGGUCUGAGAGGACGACCAGCCACACUGGGACUGAGACACGGCCCCAGACUCCUACGGGAGGCAGCAGUGGGGAAUUUUGGACAAUGGGCGCAAGCCUGAUCCAGCAAUGCCGCGUGCAGGAUGAAGGCCUUCGGGUUGUAAACUGCUUUUGUACGGAACGAAACGGUGAGCUCUAAUACAGUUUGCUAAUGACGGUACCGUAAGAAUAAGCACCGGCUAACUACGUG